CAUCGGUGGAGUAUUGGAGUCUUUUCCUGUGAUUGCCGUCGUAACAACAGGAGAUUUCUACAAGCAAAAACAGGAUCCUGAAUAUGAGGCAGAAUCAUCAUACAGCCAGCUGUCCAUUUUACAGAAAUGCAGAAUUAGGUCUGUGUUAACUAAGCAAAACAUGGAAAAUAUGCAAAGCAGGGAGCGCGAGGACUGGAAUUGGGAACCGCUGGG